CCAAGGCCUUAUGCGACAACCGAGGAUCAGCACUCCCCAGACAUUGGAAGUGAGGACGAAGACCAACAGUGAAGAAGGUUCUCGCUCCUGUUGAGGCCUGCCCGGAUAUCGUCAUCACAAUGUCUAGUUCCAGAAUUGCGGCGGCGGAAGAGGGCUGGCGAACUCGGGAGCUGGUCCGUCCUGUACCCCUGAGCGGCGCUGCGCCAGACCCCCGCCCGGCUCUCGCCGUGAGCAGCAGCAGCAGCAGGGUGUGAGCGGACAGCCGGACAGCACCCAUGCGCUAGGACCGGAACCAUGGAAGAUGCAGGGAGCCGGAAGUCCAGCCCGCAGCCGUCUCUCGAACCCGAGGAAGAACAGCGGGAUGCGGGGAGCACCUCCUUCAGCCAAGCCCACAUGAAGAGAGCCUUCCAGCUGAUGAACGAGCUGCGAAGGUAGGUCUCCCCAGCAGGU